rnacentral:misc_RNA from 1 species
GAUGAAGAACGUAGCGAAAUGCGAUAAGUAAUGUGAAUUGCAGAAUUCAGUGAAUCAUCGAAUCUUUGAACGCACCUUGCGCCCGCCAGUAUUCUGGCGGGCAUGCCUGUUCGAGCGUCAUUUCAACCAUCAAGCCCCGGGCUUGUGUUGGGGAUCUGCGGCUGCCCGCAGGCCCUGAAAACCAGUGGCGGGCUCGCUGUCACUCCGAGCGUAGUAGCACUCGUAUCUCGCUCAGGGCGUGCCGCGGGCUCCGGCCGUUAAACCGCCUCUUUAGCACCCAAAGGUUGACCUCGGAUCAGGUAGGAGGACCCGCUGAACUUAAGCAUACAAUAAGCGGAGGA